AUUUAAAGAAAGCGUAAUAGCUCACUGGUCGAGUCGGCCUGCGCGGAAGAUGUAACGGGGCUAAACCAUGCACCGAAGCUGCGGCAGCGACACUCAGGUGUUGUUGGGUAGGGGAGCGUUCUGUAAGCCUGCGAAGGUGGCCUGUGAGGGUUGCUGGAGGUAUCAGAAGUGCGAAUGCUGACAUAAGUAACGAUAAAGCGGGUGAAAAGCCCGCUCGCCGGAAGACCAAGGGUUCCUGUCCAACGUUAAUCGGGG
rnacentral:rRNA from 1 species